rnacentral:rRNA from 1 species
UACGAAGGGUGCAACCGUUGCUCGGAAUUAUUGGGCGUAAAGCGCACGUAGGCGGCUUAGCAAGUUGGAUGUGAAAUCCCUCGGCUCAACCAAGGAAGUGCAUCCAAAACUGCUGAGCUUGAGUACUAAAGAGGAUCGCGGAAUUCCCGGUGUAGAGGUGAAAUUCGUAGAUAUCGGGAGGAACACCAGUGGCGAAGGCGGCGAUCUGGGUAGAUACUGACGCUGAGGUGCGAAAGCGUGGGGAGCAAACAGG